rnacentral:snRNA from 1 species
AUUUAUGCUGAAGCUUUUGGCUAAGAUCAAGUGCAGUAUCUGUUCUUAUCAGUUUAAUAUCUGAAACGUCCUCUAUUUGAGGAAAACAUAUUAAAUCUAUUUUUGCAAGUAGGAGUUGGACUAGGAGCUUGCUCCAUCCACUCCACGCAUCAGCCUGGUAUUGCAGGACUUCUGGGAGUGGUGCAGCCCCU